rnacentral:rRNA from 1 species
AACGAACGCUGGCGGCAUGCCUAACACAUGCAAGUCGAACGAGACCUUCGGGUCUAGUGGCGCACGGGUGCGUAACGCGUGGGAACCUGCCCUUAGGUUCGGAAUAACUCCCCGAAAGGGGUGCUAAUACCGGAUAAUGUCUUCGGACCAAAGAUUUAUCGCCUUUGGAUGGGCCCGCGUUGGAUUAGCUAGUUGGUAGGGUAAAAGCCUACCAAGGCGACGAUCCAUAGCUGGUCUGAGAGGAUGAUCAGCCACACUGGGACUGAGACACGGCCCAGACUCCUACGGGAGGCAGCAGUGGGGAAUAUUUGACAAUGGGCGAAAGCCUGAUCCAGCAACGCCGCGUGAGUGAUGAAGGCCGUAGGGUUGUAAAGCUCUUUUACCCGGGAAGAUAAUGACAGUACCGGGAGAAUAAGCUCCGGCUAACUCCGUG